AGAUCACAUAUUCAUUAAUUCUACCGUCUUCUACGAUGUUCUGCCCUUUCCCUUUUCAUCCAUCAGUUUUCUACUGGCUUCUUCCAUGGCUAUAAAAAUCAAGGCCACAUAAUAACUUCUACAACGUUUUUUCCCCCUUCUUGUGCUCUGUUUCCUCUUCUUCUAUUAGUCUUCUCCUUCAAGUCUGGGUCUGUAUUACCGGGCGACUAAUCAAAUGAGUUGAAAGUUGUCGAUGCCGAGCUCUCCAAUAGUUUCUCCACUAACGCUGUCUUUGAUUCUCAGCUUUGCAUUUCCAACCGAAUCUGCAAUAGGAACUCCGGCCUGUAUUGCAGCAGGAGUCUUAUCAAGAAAAAGUACGAUCAAAAGGAAGGAGAAGGCGAAGGCGCAGCAAAAAAAAUCAGUUUUUUUAUCGUGGCUUCACCUGCACAGUUAGCAAUUGAGUUUCAUGAUAUUUGUUGGAGUAGAGAGAUGGCGGCUCUGAAAAAUUUGAGCAAGAUAGAAGGUGGAAGCAGUUGAAAGAUGCAAAUAGCUAACCUUUGGUCUCUUUGGGUGGAUUUCAUCAGUGAUUUUUCGAUUUUGUCCAACAAUGGAAUAUCUUUUAUUUCCUCUAACCAUGCAUCUAUUUUAAUCAUGUUUUCCCUCUUUUUCUGUUUUUUGCUGUGUUGCAUGUGUUGGUUAGGGCUUCAUAUAAAUAAUGGAAGUUAAUUUACAGUUCCGGGCAUUUGCUAAUUUAGCCUUCGGUUCUCCUGUUUCAAAAAAUAUAUACAUAUAUUAUCUUCUUCUUUUGGGUAUUUUUUUCUGGAAGUUUUUUAAUGCAUGCCAAUAAUUUUAUCGGAUUUGUUUGUGUCUUUUUUUUCCCUCACCAUCAACCAAUUUUACUUUCAUCACUGCAGUAUUCUUCAGCUAGGUUUCCUUUUCUUUUUCCCUCAAUUUUUUUAUUGUUUUGUUUCUGGUGAGAUUUGACUGACCAAACUGAAUAGUUUGUUGCUAUUUUGACAUUGCCGAAUUUGAUCCAUUUAGUUGGAAUUAAAUAAAUAUAAUGGUCACACAAAUUUUGUUUUACAGGCUUUUGAAAGUGGAAUAUGCUCUAGAUUAAGGGACAAUAUUUAGACUGUAAGAUACAGAAGAUAUGAAAGCUCCAAGCACAUAAAACAAGGCCUUUACGGUGCACUUUGGGUUCAGCUGAAAAAGAAGUAGAUUUCCCUCAAUUUCAUGACCAUAUGCAAUCUGGGGCACUUGGUACCUUGAUGUCAUUGGUUCCCAUACCAUUAGGCACUGUCGGCAUUUCAAGAAAAUGAGUAGUGAAGAAGUUGGAAUGGGAGGUUACCUUGUACAUCCAUGGACUUGCUGGUAGAAGGGUGCAUUACUUUUAUCGGUCUGGACCAAUUCUUCAGGACAUCAACUUCUAUCUUCUUCCAGUUGGUUUUCUUGUUUUUGCUUUUCUUCUUCCCCAUUAUUAUGGCAGCUGUACACUGGCCUUUUCUAUUUGGAUUAAAAUUCCAGUGGCUUGGACGAGAUAGAACUUACAUAAGUGCAACUGCAUUCACCACUAUAUUUCUAUCUUUGAUCUUGGUGAGUUUGUUUCUCUAUACCUUUCUCAUUUUUUUAAUCUCUUUUCUAGGCAAGAUUAUAAGUGAAACUGGAUUCUUUCUUUCAUUUGUUUUAAGCUAACUGUGAUGCCAGGCUGCUUUGGACUUAAGAAACAGGGAAAGCCUGAAUAUUAGCUUUAAUUAUGCUAAUGUGUUAUGGUCGACUAGAUUUUCCUUUAACCUGAAAGGGAUUUUCUGGAUGUGUGGUAGUCUAAAGCUAUCCUGCAGUGGACCUUACAACCUUUUAUUUUCAAGACCAAAAAGAUGUAUGCAGUUCUGAUAUGGUGCAAGGUCCUGGCAUUCUAUGCUAUUAGUUAUCUUGUAGCUUAACUAUUCUUUCCUGUCUACAAAUAACAUACAUUUGUAUAUCUAUUAUGUUUUCUAAGUUAGUUGAAUACAUGUUUGUAACAGGAUUAUGUGAUUCCUUUGAUCCUAACGUUCCAUUCUAACACAGCUUCCUGGUCCGUACUAUCACUGUUGUGAGAGCCUCAACUACUUUUUUUCCCUGCAAAAUAACCAGGGUUCAAAGCUUGCCCCACUUUCUCCUCCCGACAAUAUUUUACAAGUGCUAUUGAUUGGUCAUGAAAAAGUUUCAUCCGGCAACAACUUACUUUUGUUAUCAACCACAGCUGCUGAAUUUGUUAUCAGUAACAACUACCAAAAUUCAAAUUCCAUGCCACUGUAACAUAUCUUAUACAUAUGUCAUUUUCCAUCAGUAUUUGGUGUUAUUUCACAAUUGACUAGCUACUGUUUGAGGGGAAUUGGUGGCAAUGGAACUAUGGGUUUCUUGGUGAUUCAUUUUGAUGGAGGGCUACGAACUCUACAGAGAAAGAUAUGGCUUUUGUUUAUUUUCUUCAGCAAAAUAAAUAAAUUGAACUAGAGGAAGAAGAAGAAUAGGGAUGACUCCAUUCAGACCUCUACGAGAGUAUCAAGCUGUAGAAAGGACGGGACAGGGCCCCGUCAUACCCAUAUGCAUAUACAUCUCAAAAGAAUGGCAUACCAAAAUAAACUGCAGCUCCGGAUCAAAUGGAGCGCACUAACCACCGCUGGGUAGAGGUCUCACUAAGCUGGACCGCCUGUCUGUCUACCUGAACCUGCGAGCAUGAACGCAGCCCCCCGAGCAAUAGGGGAGUCAGUACGGAUAAUGUACUGAAUAUGUAAAGCAUAAGAAUAACGUAAGUAUAAACAUAAGGAUCAAGAAUGAAAUCUGCAACUCAUAAGCUGAAAUGACUGUCUGACCGCAUCUGUAUGACCAAAUAUCUGAUCAUAUACAACUCUGCAUGCAUUUGUAUGAACGAGUAUCUGUAAGUAUUUGCAUAAGUCUAUAUAACUGACAUUGCCUCUGGGCGUAUAAUAUGCAUACUCUCAAUGAUAAUCAUGCUCAUGUACAUAAAUAUAGGUCAUAGUGCUGAGGAACGUUCAGCCCGAUCCAUAUCCCAUAUAAUAGUUCCGUGGAACGUACGACCCGAUCCAUAUAUCAUAUAUUAAUGUCGAGUAGCGUACGGCCCGAUCCAUAUAUCAUAUAUCAAGGUGCACCAGCUAAUCAGGUGGUAAUGCGUAUAUAACGCCUAUCCAUUUUCCCAUACCCCAUGUACAUAUAAUAUACGCGUAUAUAACGUCUUCUGGUCAUGGGUCAGGUAUAUGAAUGCAGUGCAUAACUGAAAUGAACACAUAGAACUCUCGGAGUGACAUAAGGUCAUAUUACCUCUGAUGGACAACUUUUGAGCUAACAUCAUCAACAUAAGAAAUCUCAAGACCCAUAAACAGAAAGAACAAUCAUACAGGGUAUAGGAAUAUCAAAGAUUGAAGUACUCCUAGUGCUUCUAAGAGUAGAGUAAUAUGGAAGCUCGUUCAAUCGCUUGUUGGCUCAUAACAUAGGAUCAUGCCAAAAUGAAGAAGGAAUAGCCUUAACAUACCUUGAAGUGUAUCUAAUCGGCUAACUUCUACUUCUUGAACUCGUAAGUCUACAAUCGAGAUAACAUAGGCCUUAAUUAGACUUAUUUACCUCACUUACUAACCAUUUUAAAUAUAAAAAGAGCUUAACGAAUUGGGGACAACAUUCCCCUUGUAAACUUAACAAUCCUUCAACUUCCAAUUCAAUCCAACAUCAACCACAAUAUCAACAACAACAAUGACAACAUUUAUCUAUCAAGAUAUGCUCAAAUCCAUUCCCAAUCAUCUCUUAAAACAGCCCCUAAUCACCAUCUUACCCUUCAUCAACUUACCACUUCCAUAGCUAUCUUCUCUUUACUUAAAACCACUAAAACUCUUAGUAAUUAACUUAAGUACAAAGGUAGGAAUCAUUUAUAUACCUUGAGGGGUCUAAGAUUCCAAGGAUCAACUUCAACUCCAACUUCCCAAGCUUCACAACUUUAAUGAAACCCUAGGAACCACCUUCUUCUUCACAAGCUCGGGUUUACGGGACUCGGAUCUUACCAAAUCCUCACUAAUAUGAUGGAAAUUAUAGAGAGGAAAUAUUUUAGGGCUUUCUCUGAUUUGGGAGUGGAAAAUAAUGAAAUAAAACAUGAGGGCUCCAUAUAUAUAAGUGGGGCAACACAGCCACCGUCCCUACUCCACCUGAGAUUCAGAGACGGCGGUGUGUCAACGGCGUGGGUUGACGCCACCGUCGACACGUCGAUGGACCGUCGAAGGGGACUGGUUCCUGCCAGUUCCCUGAGUCCCCCAGCUGCGACGAUGCUUAUUCUCUCUUUCCUCUAUCUCGAUUAUUAUUAGGAUGAAAAUACAAAAGUAAAAUAUUUGUGCCUAAUGGUUCAAUAAAACUAUGGAAAAGGGUAAAAAAUGCCCUUAAACUAUGUGAAAUUGAAUAAAAAUUUUCUCCGUUCAUAGUUUGGUCCAAAAAUGCCCUUAAACUAUGCGAAAUUGAACAAAAAUGCCCCUAUCGUUACUUUAUUGGGUCAAAAAUGCCCCUAUCGUUACUUUAUUGGGUCAAAAAUGCCCUUUUCCUAAUAAAUAUAUUGUUUCUUUUCUUUUUAAACAUAUUUUUUUUAUAAAAAUAUUAGUUUUUAAAGAAACGUUUUCUUGUUUCUUUUCUUUUAAAAUCCCUUUAACUAAUAAAAAAGUGAAAAGUAAUUUUUUUUUCUUCCUAAUCUCGUUUCAUAAAUUAAAAUAGAAUUACCCCAUGUACUUUUUUAACUGAUAAUAUAUAUCAUAUAUUUAAGAUCAUGGUAACCCCAUAUUUAAUUUUCGUUUAGAUAACGAUAAAAUUCUUUUUCCUAUUAAAAUAGGAAAUAUUUUUAUUUUUUAAUCUUUUUCAAAUUAAAGUAGGAUAAGCAUUUGCUGUUGUAAUCCUUGGUUUAAAAGUUAAAAUGAAAAAGGGUCAACAAAAACUCUAUUGAUGAUAACUUAAAGAUAUUUUGUGAUUUGAAGCAAUAUAAUAAAUUUCUUGAUUUAUAGCACUAUGAUUGUUGUAUCUUAACUUUAAAAGAAGGAUAGGUAGAGAAAAGAAGGAAUUAUGCGAAAGUUCAAAAGUUGAAAUAGAAAUAUUUGUUACCUUAUGUAUGGUUAAAAUCUUAUUUUAGUUAAUUAAAUCUCAACAGUAAUCUCAAAUCAUGACACGUGUCGUUAUUUAAGUUAGAACUUGGAAAAACGGAGAGGAGGUCAUGGGCGCAUCCGUCCCACUUUUUGCAUGCAUUAUAGCUAAUGUAUAGUGGAGCUAAUUGAUAGUAGUAUAUGUUAUAUAAUAAUAUACCCAAAUUAAUUAAACAUAGUAUAUUAUUUUACGCUAUUUAAACAGAAAACAAAACUUUUUCUGAUUUUGUUUGAAGAUAAAACCUACAUCAGAAAAAGAUAUAUGCUAUUCUUUUUUAAUCAUCUUAAUCAUUUAAUUUAUCUAAUUAUAUAGGAGUAUUUGUUUAUGCUCCUCGCGUAUCCUCCAUCCUUUGGUUUUCCCUCAAAUGUAAUACCAAAUUUUAGUCUUCUUUUCACUUUUUUUUUUCCCCAAGAAUUCACCAAUAAACAAGGUUGAAGGUGCAAAUUAGCAAUUUGGGAGUGGUUAAGAUUUCUGGAGAUCGUCAAGUGGGUAAUUCAAGAAUUAGAUUUUAUAAGGAGUUCCCAAAACCAAAAGACUGUAAUACAGAUGAAAUCCAAGCAAGACUUGCAAAAGGUUUUCUCAAGAUUUCAUUUCCAAAGAAAGUUACAGCCCCUCCUAAAGCAGAUGAAGAAACAAUAACAACUUUAAAAGAGGGAUAUAAUCCUACUAUCUCCAUGAAAGUAGAGGACAAAACAUCAAAUAAAUCAAGAAUAUCGAAGAAGAUCACGAAUAUGAGUGUUGCAGCAAUGGUAGUUGCUGUGAUUUCUGCCAUCACUAGUUUUACUUACUAUGUGUAUAGGUCUGCAACAGUUGAAGAGUAGUUUUAGUUAUCUAUGCAAGAAAUGAGUUGGGAUCGUUGUGGUGAUUUAAAAUGUGGUGUAAAUAUUGUACGAACAUUUGGGAAUUUCUAUUAGAUGGAUUUGGUUUAUUCUUUAAGAUCCCGUUUGGACUAGCCAUGCAAAUUUAAUUAGUCUAUAAUUCUACUUAGAGCUGUCAAUAUGGGCUUGGUCCACGGGGCCGGCCCAACCCAACCCUUUAUUUAAGUAGGGUUGGGCUAAGAUAUCUUUGACCCAUAUAGAAGUGAGGCUCAAAACCUCAGCCUCUCUUGGCCCGCCGGCCUCAAGGGUUGGGCUAACGCCAACCCUUGCACUACUAAAAAAACAGGAUUUCCCGACCUCAAAAAACCGACCUCAGUUGAGGUCAGAAAAAAAUCGAACUCAUGAGGUCGGUAAAGUAGUAAUAUUUAUUUUUCAAUUUUUUAAAAAAUAAACCGACCUCAUGAGGUCGUAAUAUUGUACUAAAAUUUGAAAAAAAUAAUAUACCGACUUCAUUAGGUCGAAAAUUUAUUUGAUACUAAGUAUUAUAAAUUAUUCUUAAUAAACCGACCUCGUGAGGUCGGUAUUCUUUUAAAUUAAAAAUAAAAUAAUUAAAAUUACCGACAUCAUGAGGUCGGGUUAUUUAAUUAAAAAUAUUAUAAAUUAUUUUUAAUAAACCAACCUCAUGAGGUCGGUAUUAUUUUAAGUUAAAAAUAAAAUAAUUAAAUAUACCAACCUCACGAGGUCGGUGUAACUAGUCAAAUAAAAUUAAAAUGAGAUCCAAACCCUUGUUUUUCCCAUUAUUCUAUCUUUUCCUUUCACCAUUUCUCUCCCCCUUUCUCUCUUAACCCUAAUAAUGUCAUCACCAUCAUUCCUGAUGGUCACCGUCGCCGCCGUCCCUACCAUGUCACGACCCGGCUAGGGGUUGCGACGGGUACCAGGGACUAACCACCGAGCACCGCUCGUACUAUCAUUUACCUAACCCAUUUAACAAUCAUUCAUCUAUUUCCGGUUAACUUUAAAAAGAGGAUUUGCUUUUCAUUAUAAAAAUAUAACGCGUUGAUACAGAAACAUAUCUCAAUAUACUUAUACACAUGCGUACUACCCAUGUUGUGGAACCACACAACCCACACCGAGCAUUUGUGAGCCUCUAUUGAGUGACAUACAAAUAUAUACACAAAAGGAACAACCAACUAGCACCUCCGGAAAAUGGAGUGCUCUUCAGCUCGGCUAGUGACUCCUAUCAGUCUGGACCGCUUUCCCGUCUACCUGUGGGCAUGAACACAGCAUCCAAAGAAAAGGAUGUCAGUACGAACAUUGUACUGAGUAUGUAAGGCAUACAUCAAGAAAUAAAGUAAGAAUAAGAAAAUAAAGUAAGUACAAGGAGAUAAUCGAUAACUGCUUGCCUCUUAAGGCGGAUCCAUGCAUGCAUACUCAUAAAGCAUCAUAUAGUAAAUUGCUGCGGAACGCGCAGCCCGAUCCAUAUGUCAUCAUAUGUUAGUGCCGAGGAACGUACGGCCCGAUCCAUAAACAUAAUAAGCUAGUGCCGAGGAACGUACGACCCGAUCCAUAAAUAUAAUAAGUUAGUGCCGAGGAACGUACGACCCGAUCCAUAACCCAUAUAUCCCGCGUCCGGGCAUCCCGCGUCCGGGAUGGAAUCAUGAUAUGCCAGCUGUACAGGUAGCUAUGCGUCUAUAGCGCCUCACCUUUCCCCCUUUCCCCUGAAAACAUUUUCAUAUCAUUUAUAUAUACAUACAUAAUAUACAUAGCAUGCUGGAGAGCCCAAGGAAAAGUUGUAAGUACGUUGGAGUGACGUAAGGUUGAAAGCCUCCGAUUGUGUUAUGGAGUAAUCAUCGUCGCUUUGUCUCGCCUUGAAGGAACAAUUAUUAUAAGGCGAGACUAUCAAUGAAGAAUAGAAUUAAAAGAAAGCAUAGAAUAAAAUCAUGAACUUCAUAAGGCAUCCAUUCAUAUACUUUGGAAGAUUUAGAAAUAAAGUCACCAUCCAUGAGUAAAUUGAGAAAUCAGUAAAUAGCUCGACGUUCUCAUAUAGUCCUUGAAAUCGUAAACUUGAAACUUUUAAACAUAAGAUUUGCUCUCAUCAUGGUCAGCAUAAUGAUACUUUCACUUUUGACAUCAUCAUUGUUAUUGAAAACAAUAUCCACGGUCGUUAUCAUAACGCUCACAUAAUUGCAACCUUUGGUUUGGAAAAUAGGAGUACUUUGGAAAACAUUUAUGAAAUAUCAAGAAGGAAAUCGUGCUUCAGAAUCUUAGAUUAUUUAACCUUUGGUAGCAAGGAAAAGAUGGGAGCAUUUAUGAAAUCGUAAGCUAGGGAUCAUGCCUUUGAAAGAAAGGGAAUAGCCUCACAUACCUUCGACGUUUACAAUUCUUAUUGCUUGCUCGUUCUCCCCUAAUGCACUCGUAUACCUUCAAGAGAAUUCAUGUCGUCGUUAGCUAAGUAAUUACAAGAACGGACUACCAUUUCUAAGGAAAAUUGGGUAGCACUCCCUUCAUUUCUAAUACUUUCCCCAUGUUUCAUUUCCACUCUCAUACAUUCGUAACGACACUCACAAUAUUACUUUCAACAAUCAUCACUGAUACACUUUGAGAAAAAUCUACCAUUUUCCUCCAAUUUCUCCACAUUCAUGGUUAUAGCUCGUUAUCACGUUUUCUCGUAUAUAAUACUUAUUUCAUGGUCUAGACGUUAUUUAUAACAUAUUCACAACCGUAGCUUAUCAACAUUCAUGACUCCAUUCAACUACUAUUCACUUGUGCCACUAUUUACCCAUACAAGGCCCAUUUUCUAUGUUCUUAUACAUUUCAAGUAUCUAAGCCUUCCAAUACCUUGAAACAUAUGGUAUAGUCAUGAAACAUACCUUGGAUGAUGGUGGAACAAGCCUUGAGCAACAAUACUCUUUUUAUACCAAAACCCUAUUUCAACCCUUUUGAGAUUUCUUGAAGAAGAUGACUUCCAAUAGAGUCUCAUGCACUUGCUUUCAUGAAUUAGAUGUUGAUGAUCUUGGUUCCCCUUUGAUCUAUUGAAUUUUGUGGAUGAAUAUUUGGAGAGCUUCUAGAGUGUUCUUGAAUGGUGUAGAUGCAUAAUGAAAUAAAAUGAAGCCUUGGUCCCUUUUAUUAAUUCAAAAUCUGGUCUUUAAUGAAUUCCAGUCGGGGUGAACAGUGGUCGUAAACCACAGUUUACGAGCCGUCCUCCCUGGUCGUAUUUAAGCAUGUCCAAAACAGAGAAGUUGGCUGAAGAAUAUUGCAGUUUACGAUCGAGGUUUACGGUCCGUAAACCAGUUUACGGGCCGUAUUCCAAGUCGUAUUUAAGCAUUGCACCACUUAACAGAAAGUUGAAACUUGAAAGGCUGGAGGACGAUGGUGGUUUACGGUCCGUAAAUCACUUUACGGGCCGUAUACCACUUCACGACCACUGUGCUGAAUAAAAUUCCAUAACUUUUUCAUUUCCAAAAAUUCACGAAUCAUCACCCCUUGCUUAGUAAAACACCCCACACUCAUACCCUUGUCGUUCUAUUCCUUGUACAUGUACGGGGACUUUUCCGAGGUGUAACAUACCAGUACCGUCGUUGCUGUCGCCGUCCAUGGCCAACUAUUUGAGGUUCCAGGCCGUAGCUGGUAAAUAGAUGAAUCUUGACGUCCACUGGAGCACCUAUAAAGCGAGGCGAAGCGCUCAACAUGUUUUCCACCUCGCUUCAGGGCUUAAGCUCGCUUCAAGCACGCCUUUGACAGCACUGCCCAAAGCAUGAAUUAGAAAUUAUGGAUUUUGGAUCUUUCACCUGAAAUCUUGAAAUUCUACAUUACUUAGGAAGGUGUUAGGUCAUCCUUUCAUCCAAGCAUGUAGAUAAGCCAAUUCCAAAUGCAACAUUGCAAGUCACUGGUGCGGUCGGUUGGCACAGAGAGGGUCUUGCUUUCCCGAUUGCCAUUAGGGAAGUUAUUUUCCUCAUUUUUAAGGAACUUGUUUUCUAAAGAAAGUGUUUUCCAAAACAUCUUCACCAACUAAACAUGGAAAAUUGGAAAACAUUUUCCAUACCAAACACACCCUUAGUUCUUUCGAAGUCCAAAUUUGAUCUCCUCAAAAAGGAAAAAAUUGGCAUUAUCUUUACUGGUCAUUCAUCUCCUCAAUUUAUUUACCUUAAAGAGUAAAGAUAACAAUCAUUGCAUUCUGCUUCUUUCAGUUGGUUCUCCUUAUCUGCAGAUUUUCAAUGCUAACUGUUCUCAAACAUGUGAUUAUCUAUUCCCUCCGUUUCAAUUUGUUUGUCUGCUUGACUUGGCAGUUGGCACGGAGUUUAAGAAAGUAAAGAAUACUUUUGAAUCUUCUGGUCUUAAACUAAAGAUAUGGAGAAUGUGCCAAAAUGCUUUUAAUCUUGUGGUCUUAAACAUGCUAUGUGGAAUGUUGGAAAUAAAGAGUUGCCAAAAGAGGAAAGAGGCAUUCUUUUUUAAACGGAUUAAAAAGGAAAGUAAGAUGAACAAAUUGAAAUGGAAGGAGUAUCAGUUUGGUCCUAUCAGUUUCAGCAGCUGCAUCUAUAGUUAAUUAUUUCUGAUUGUUAACGUAGUAUGUUUCUCUGCUGCCUGGUGCAGUGGUAAAACUAUUGAGCUCGAUGAUGUUACUUUCCACCAAUGUGUAAAUUUGACAAGAUUCAACUCAGAAAAGAUUGUCAGCUUUGUUUCGCCUAAUGGUGAAUUUGAAUUGGUGAAGUAAGUUCAUAUUUCUUCCUAUACAUCUUUGUUUUCUGGGCUCUAUUUUUUCUCUCAUCUCAAGCCAGAAGGCUGAAGCUGUGGUACUGAUUCCUCAUUUUAUUCCAGUAGCAAAUGCUGAACUUCCUUAAAUCAUUUCAUGUCACGCUAAAUUAAUGCUACUAACUGGGCCAGCUUGUGCUCACCACGACUAGUCCACUGGGUGCUUGCUAUCUCCCACCAACACAGUUACUGGGUAACUUUGUCUACCAAGACUUACAUAGGUGGGAAGAAAUCACCUCAUGUUUAUUUUACCUCUACAGAGAUUUGAACCUUAGCUUCCAUAGUUCAUCCCAACUUCAUUGACCAGAGUGUAAAGAUUGCGUUUGGCUUUUAAGCUCAAAAUAUGUACACUUAAUUUGGAGGAGGUUCAGAUUAUACCGAUAUUCAUGGGCAUACUUUUAUGUAAUAGUGCCUGAAAUUGUUAACCUGUGGUUAUCUUCAAGUACCGCAUUAUUGAAGGAGUAAAUCUUCCUUUCAGUGUAUCAAAGAAUUAGGCCGUACACGUAUGGAAGUUAAUGUUAAGGUUAAGAGUUUGUUGGGUGCAAAAAUGUUUGCUCUUGGAGUAGUUAUUAAAAUUCCAGUGCCAAAGCAAACUGCAAAAACGAACUUCCAGGUGACAUCAGGGAAAGCAAAGUACAAUCCAGCUGUUAUACCCCGCGUUUUCAGAGCAUGAGCGUGACACGUACUUCCUCGAAAUUGACAAUCAUAUUGUCGCUACAUAAUUCAAACUCACGUUGACGAUAUUAUAUUUCGUAUUUUUGUACGUCGGAUUAUUCAUAAGCUGAGGUGGGGCCCACACAUUGAGAUUUUUUUGGGACAUGUGACAAGUUAUAUGAAUCACAUAUGUGAAGCUAAACGCAACUCAAGAAGGACCCUUGAGCUGAAUCAAAGUGGAAACCCUCCAAAUAAAUAUUUUUAAGUAACGUUUUCAGGUGACCUGAUUUCGAGGGGCAAAAAAGGUAUUAUAAAUUUGAAAUUUGGAAAACUACCAAGAAAUAUAAGUUGUAGAUAAUUGAAUUAGAUUUCCAACCAUAGGUCGUGGGUCCACAGGUGACGUCGGGAUAAGGAGAUAUGGACGUUUUAAGGCAGAAAGGUCAGUGGGCCAGGCCCAAACCGAGCCCAACCGGGUUAGGCCCAUUACCCAUGUCUUUAUAAGUGCAAAUUUCGGCCUCCCUCCUCAUUUUAAGACCAAGAACAACCAAAAAAUUCGGGAAAGAGAGAGAAAAAGAGUCUUGGAGAAGAAAAACCAAUUUUUGAUCGAAAUCUGAGCCCCGAAUCCCAAAGCCCAUGAAGGAAAAAGUGUUGUACGCUGCGUUGUCUUCAAUCUGAACUAAAAAUCAACCAAAAAGAAGAGGGUGGACGUGGUGGCUGAACACGUGAGGUAAGAUUAAGGUUCCUUUUCAUUGCAAACAAGUUUAUUUAGGGUUUUAACGAACUAGAACGGAGAAAAUAGUGUGAUAAAUUCGUUUAUUGGUGUAGUUGGAUUAUGGGUUGAGGCGUGAGGAGAAUUUUGGAUAAAAAAUAUAUUUAUUUAUCUUGUGGGAUGUAGUUAUUGAUGUUAUUGGUAUUAACGUCGACGUCUUUAUGGAAAUAAAAUUAUUAAAUAGUUAUAUCGCAAAUUUUGUUGGUUGGGAAAUUUAGAAAACAGUGUGCGGGCUGUUUUAUGGCAUACGUCGGUAUUGGAAAUGAUGUUAAUACUAUUGGUAUUGUUGUUGAUGUUGUUGGUUGUUGAAUUGGAAUCUCGGGCUAGGCAUAUAAACAGGGAAAAUGCUGCCCGAAUUUUGGCAGAAUUUAAAAAGGGGUUUUAAUUAAAGUUUCGAGACGAACGUACAACGAUGAUCCUAACGAUAUUAUGAACGAUUCCAUAUGUAGAUUACGAGGCUAUGAAUAAUUAUUAAGCGAGUUGCAAGACGGAAAGUAAGUUGAAAGUCGAGAAUCAUCUUCCAGGUAUGUAAAGCUUACUUUUUUUUUCUUUUGGCAUGUCUUAGAUGUAAGUAAGAUGUGAUGUGAGCCGUGGGGUAACUCCAUUCUUAAGAUCCGAGCCUGUCCACGAUUCUUAUUCACUCCCUAAUGUUAGCGUUCCUAAUACAGUCGAGUUAGGGGCCUUGUGUCUCUUGUAUGAUUGGAUAGUAAAUAUUGCAUAAAGAGUUUUUGUUCCUAAAAUAUUCUAUGUUGAAUAGGGCCCCUAACUGUCAUAGACGAGCUCGGAUCGCUCCGAUACGUUCGUAAAGGAUUCUGUCACGAAUAAUGUUCGUAACUUUCGUGUGCCAUCUUGGAUUGACUUGAGAUGUGUCUAUGAUCCCCGAGACCCUCCUUAUAUAAUUCUAUUCAAUAGGUUCCCGAGCGACGUUCGAAGGAAACUCGAUUUGACUAUUGUCUUGGGUUCCAAUGAUAGCUCGGUUUGAUUACUCUAUCGAGUCUUUGAAAAUGUUUUAAAUUGCAUAUAGUUUCUCACUACUCUGCUCGUGCAUAUGACUGUUACAUCUUUCGCCGAGUCCCGGGCCGGUAUGUAUCGUGCGUAUGGUUCACCGUGUCCCUUGCUUGAGGGCCGGGUUCCAUAUAUAUAUAUUCCGGAGUUAUGAUGUGUUAUGGUGUUAUGAUGUUUUCAUGGUUCACUGAGGCCCUUGCUAGAGAGCCGAGCACCAUAUAUAUGUGUAUUCUGAUGCUAUGAUGUGUUACAGAGAUUACAGAGCAAAUCUUCUGGUGUAUGAUGUGUGUGGCGCCGAAGUCGGGAUGGCGACCACGUUCCCCGGGUCCCGCAAGGGACCGGACACCGUUCCUGACAUGCAUGAUUUAUGUUUCAAGUACAGACGCUCGAUUUGGUGAUCCGCCAGCUUAGGGUAUCCACUCUGCUAUCUUGGAGCGCUCCCUUGUUCUGGAGCUUAUAUUUUGGUACAGACUCUUCCGUUGCAUAUAUGUAUGCCUAUUCAAGGGUACGGCGGGGCCCUGUCCCGUCAUGUGAUUCUGUUGUUACUCUUAGAGGUCUGUAGACAUGUAUAUGGGUUGUGUAUGGUUAUUGUCCAGCUAUGUUUGUGUGAUUUAUGUUUUGGGCGGAUCCAUUUGCCGUGGAAGCCUUAUUGGCUCGUAUAUGUAUAUUUUAGGAUGAUGUGUUUUAUGACAGCCUGGCCGGCUUCCGUGUGGAACAUAUGUUUGUAUAUGACAGUUUGCGAUGACGUCUGACCUUUGUAUCUGUAUAAGUAAUUUGUAUGCUGAUUUUGGUUAGUGUGUGUACGAGUGCCCAGCUCGGGCACUAGUCACGGCCUACGGGGUUGGGUCGUGACAAAAGUGGUAUCAGAGAAGUUCGUCCCCGGAGUGUCUAUAGACCGUGUCUAGUAGAGUCUUGUUUAUCGGUGUGUUGUGCACCACAUCUAUAAAAAGGAAGCUACAGGACAUUUAGGAUGUUACCUUUCUUUCAUAUCUAAGAUCGUGCGGUAGAGCCAAGCCCUAGGAAAUGAGAUUCCUUAUACUAACCUUUGAUUUCAACAGAUGAACGACUUUGACGGAAGAAAGUGAUUGAUGAUAUUGGAAGUUACAAAGUACGCAGGUAAGCAACGGUACGAAAGAUGUAUGUUGGGUAAGGUAUUUGAAAGUAUGAUUGAAAUAUAGGUUGAAGAUUUAAAAGGGAAAGUAAACAAGAAAGGGUAACAGGUGCAGUUUGAGUUGGGCAUAUAUGUUCAUCAUUUUCAUACGAUUAUUGAUAUUGGGAGCCUUGUGUGGCUGUGAUACGAUAUGAUAUAUAUAUAUAUAUAUAUAUAUAUAUAUAUAUAUAUAUAUGUUGGCCCUGUGAGGCGUUGUUGGUAUUUCCUGCGUGCAGGUUUUGAGAUAGUAAGAAAUACAGAGGAAACUCUGCCAAAAUUUUUCUAGAAAUAAAAAGAGAAUGAGAUAUAAGUUUGAAAUAUGUCUUGACAGGUCGUGCCAAUAGUAAUGGUAAGAUUUUACUAAGCUACGAGUAGGGCUGAUCUCGAGGAAUAAGUUAACUGUUGGAUUGAUGAUAAUAAUGAUCAGGAGGUCGAUACUGAUAUGGUAAAAAGGAAUUUAGGAAGGGCUAGUGAUACUAAGAGAUGAUUUAGAAAAGGCUAACACGGUAAUCGUAUAGUCAGAAGAUUAAAACUGGUUCGGAGGGAGAUACGUUACGAGAACAUUUUGGAAGUUGUUAAGACACUAACCUGCUCCAGGUUACGUGAUGAAGGUCAUGCGGUGAGGUGGAUGCAACCAUACCAGCAUUAACGCACAAAAUUUCAUCGGAGUUUCGAGGUUAAGCAUGCUGGGGUGAGGGAAAUCUUAGGAUGGGUGACCCCCUGGGAAGUGUUAUAUCCCGUAAUUUUGCACAUUCAGAUAAAUUGAAAUAAUUGUGACUAGUGAGAGAUAAGGCAAUAUUUUGAUUCUAUUUAAUAUGUAUGUUGUUCAUGAAAAAUGUUGAUGCGAAAAUUUGGAGGAAGGCCAAGGGAAAAAUUGGAAAUUUGGAAAUUGGGUUUAUGAAUUACAAAUAUUCACCAUAAGUAAAUUGGGCUAAAAAAAAAAAAAGAGAGGCCCAAUUCUAUGGUGGCUGGCCAUGGCAACAAUAAAGGGGCCCAAGACCAUGAAUAAUUUAAAUCAUGUGUUAAAUAAGAAAAGGGGCCAUAAACCUCUUCAUUAUUCAAGAAGGUUCAAGACAAAAAAAAUGGAGAGCAAGAAUUAAGGGCCAUUCGGCCAACAACAAAAAAAAAUAAUUUUAAGCCAUCCAUCUUUGAUCCAAGAAUUUUAAUCUUCUUGUAUUCCUAGUAAGUUCAAGACCCUCUUCACCGUGGUAUAAUUUUUGAGGCAAGAAAAUCACUUUUAUGACAAGUGCAAAAUCCUAUUCAAGUGGAAAAAGGUAAGAAUUCAUCUUCUUUUAUAUGUUAAGGAUGUUUGUGUAUGUUGUAGUAUGUGAAAAUGGAUGGAAUUUAUGAAAAUAUGGAUGAUAGGUUGUAGCCGUGCAUGUAUGUGUGUGGCCGUGUAUGUGUGAUGUUGUGUAGAAAGAAUGGGUUAAUUUUAUGUAGUGUGUUGGUUGUUGCAAUGUAUAGAAAUGGAUGGAAAAUUCAUGAAAAUAUGCAUGUAGUUGUUGUGGCCGAAUGAUGGGUGGUUGGCAAGUUAUGAUGAAUUGAUUCCGUUUGAUAUUUUAGUUGUUGUUGAUGUGGAUUCUACGAUGAAAAUGAAGGUUCGACGGCUUGAAAUGAAAUUGUAAUCGUUGUAGGGUUAUUGAAGAAGUUAAUGCGACACUAGCAUGAAUUCUUAUAAUUGUAUGAAUGGUAUUGUAACAUGCGAAUUUUGAUAUAGUUUAUGAAUCUAGAAUAAGGAAAAUGUGGUGUUGUUGUCCUUAUUGAAGUCGGAAGAUUUCGGGUUAUGUUGUAAGUUGGUUAGGCCGUUUAAAGUAUUGUGUGAGUUGCUUGAAGUAUUCGUGAAUAUCGUUCGAAUAGUCUUGGAUUAAUAUUUGAAUAUGUGAGCAAUCAUAUUGAUUUGAUCAUAUGCGGUUGGAUUGAAUAAAAUUGUUAGUAUUGUUGUUGAUAAUGUGGCCGAGUUCCAUUCUCGGGUUUGUUGUUGAUAAUUUAGCCGAGUUAAAUUCUCGGGGAUGGUGUAUUUACAGGGGAAAUGCUGUCGAAAUUUCGGUAGAAUAUAAAUAAAUUCAUUUGAAAGACCAAGACAAGUGUAUGUCGACGAGUCUAAUAAUUAUGUCAAUUUUCUUGAAUGUAGAUUAGCAAGUUUGGACAAAUAAGUGUAGCUGGUUGGUCGUGGGACAGGUACACCCAGAUGAGUAGAAGUCAUUACAGAAGAUGUUCCACGGAGUCGGCAAGCUCCACUUGUUCCUGGAGUGCCGCCGAGUCAGAGUAUAUGUGCUAUGACGUCUGGUUAAUGUUAGAGACUUUGCAGACAGAGUCGUGGGUAUAGUAUGUCGAUUUUGUAAGCGGAUCCAUCAGCCGAUAUGUCAUUCUGUAUUAUGUGAUAAAUUCUAUAAGAUCACAGAUUCUGUUUGAUUUGGAAAACAUCGAAAAA